rnacentral:rRNA from 1 species
AGUUUGAUCAUGGCUCAGAACGAACGCUGGCGGCGUGCUUAACACAUGCAAGUCGUACGAGAAACUGGAACUUUGGUUCUGGGAGUAAAGUGGCGCACGGGUGAGUAUCGCGUAGGUAAUCUACCCUUGGGUUUGGAAUAACCCGCCGAAAGGCGGACUAAUACCGGAUAAAAUCUUUCGGAGGGAUCUGAAAGAUCAAAGGUGGCCUCUCCAUGGAUGCUACUGCCUGAGGAUGAGCCUGCGUCCCAUUAGCUUGUUGGUAGGGUAAUGGCCUACCAAGGCUACGAUGGGUAGCUGGUCUGAGAGGAUGACCAGUCACACUGGAACUGGAACACGGUCCAGACUCCUACGGGAGGCAGCAGUGAGGAAUAUUGCGCAAUGGGGGAAACCCUGACGCAGCGACGCCGCGUGGGUGAAGAAGGCCUUCGGGUCGUAAAGCCCUGUCUAGAGGGAAGAAAUUCUCAAUGGAAUAAUACCCAUUGAGAUUGACGGUACCUCUGGAGGAAGCACCGGCUAACUCCGUGCCAGCAGCCGCGGUAAUACGGAGGGUGCGAGCGUUGUUCGGAAUUACUGGGCGUAAAGCGGGUGUAGGCGGUUUGUUAAGUCAGAUGUGAAAGCCCACGGCUCAACCGUGGAAGUGCAUCUGAAACUGGCUGACUUGAGUACCGGAGAGGGAAGUGGAAUUCCUGGUGUAGGGGUGAAAUCCGUAGAUAUCAGGAGGAACACCGGUGGCGAAGGCGACUUCCUGGACGGAUACUGACGCUGAGAUCCGAAAGCGUGGGGAGCAAACAGGAUUAGAUACCCUGGUAGUCCACGCCCUAAACGAUGGGCACUAGGUGCAGGGGGUGUUGACCCCUCCUGUGCCGCAGCUAAAGCAGUAACUGCCCCGCCCGUAGAUCAACCCGC